AGCGUAUGGAUCCGAAAGUCGGACGGUGAAAGAGACAGGAUAGAAAGAGCAUCGAUUCUUUUGAAAGACAAAAAGAAACGCCCAGGGCUGGAAAUGGUCACAUUUACUUGCCAGGGAGAGUGACCGCGACAGAAGCCGUGAGGUUCCUGAUCAACUAUGUGGUGGUGCAGAAGGAAGAGAGACGGAGAGGGAGAAGGAGACUGAUUCUGCUCUACACCUCCCCUGAACAAGGGGGUGAAGCUCAGAAGGAUGCCCACAGGAGCCAGACGAGAAGUUUAAAAAAAAGUCACUUCUCAAUUUAUGGGGCUUUAAGUGCCCUGAAGGGAUCAUAAGCACCUUGAGGGCAAGGAUCAUUCUGGCAAUUCUACUGUACUACCCUAAGGACUCGGUACAACACUCGGGAACAAAACAGGCAUUCAAUAAACACUGCUGGUUCAUGGA